UUUUUUAUAAAAAUAAUUUAUUGAUUUAUUGUUUUAGUACUUAUUAAAAAUAAAUUUAAAGUUUUAUAGUUUAUUAGUAUUGUGAAAGAAUUAUUUUUUAAAUUUAAUAAAGAAUAAUUAAUUAGUACCUUUUGUAUCAGGGUUAAUUAAAAUUUUUAAUUUAUUUUUAAUUUCUCAAAAUUUAUAGAGUUAAUUUUAUUAUUUAAGUUAUUGUUUUAUAAAUAUUUAAAAAAUAGGUUUAGAUUUGAAAUUUAAUUCGUUAUAAAAUAUUUAGUUAUUUAAGAUUUAAAUUUAAUUUAUAAUUUUAAUAGUUAUUUUAAUUUAAAUUAAAAUUAUUUUAAAAUUAAAUUAUUUUAGGGAUAAGCUUAAAAUUUUUAUAUAAUAUUAAUUUUUUUUUAUAAUUUUUAGGAAUAGUAAUUUUUAUUUUAAGUUUGUAAAAAUUUAUUAUUUAAGUUUAUUUAAAUUUAUUAUAUAGUUUAUUUUUUAUAUUAAAUUUUAUAAAUUAAUUAUUAAUUUAUAGUAAUAAUGAUUAAAUUAGUAUAAUAGUUGAUUUAUAAAUUAUGAAUUCGGCAAAUUUUAUUUUCAUCUGUUUAACAAAAACAUUGUAUUAAGUUUUAUUUAAUAUAUAAUCUGCUCAAUGAUUUUAAAUUAAAUAGCUGCAGUAUUUUGACUGUGCAAAGGUAGCAUAAUAAUUAGUCUUUUAAUUGAGGACUUGUAUGAAAGAUUUGAUGAGAAAUAAACUUUAUUAUUUAUAAAAUUAAAAUUUUAUUUUUAAGUAAAAAAGCUUAAAUUUUUUUAAGGGACGAUAAGACCCUAUAAAACUUUAUAAUAUAUUUAAUUUUAAUUUUUUUGUAAAUUAUUUAAUUAGAUUUUUUUUAUUAUUUUAUUGGGGUGAUAAAAAAAAAUUAAUAACUUUUUUUAAAUUUUAACAUUAAUUUAUGGUUAUUUGAAUUAAUAUUUUUAAUUAAAGGGAAAAGUUACUUUAGGGAUAACAGCGUAAUUAGUUUUUAAAGUUCAAAUUUAAAAAUUAGUUUGCGACCUCGAUGUUGAAUUAAGAUAAUUUUUAGGUGCAAAAUUUUAAAUUUUAGGUCUGUUCGACCUUUAAAUUCUUACAUGAUUUGAGUUCAAACC
rnacentral:rRNA from 1 species